CACACUAUACUAUCAAAGUUUAAAGGUAAAUUAUUAUAUAUUAGGAGAUGGUAUAAAGUGUAUGUUGUAAUGUGUAGGAUAUAUACAAAGAUACAUACUUGAAAGUCCGUAGAGGAAACAAAUUUUUAUGCCUUCUGUUUGACUGUUUGUCAUAUAUUUGGUUUUAUUUCCCAGGGAUCAGUGAAUUUUAACUCUGGAGUCCUCUAUGCUAAGGAUGCUCAGCUUACAGAUGAUGAAAUGUUCAGUAAUGUAUUUGCUGGAGCUGUGCUUACCCAAGGUUUGGGUAAAACAAGCUUUGGGUUCCUUCUGUCUCACUGGGAGUUGCCCAAUUCAGUUGCAUCUGGUGAAAUUCACCCUGAGACCUUACAGAACUAGCUCCAACUACGUGAGAGCCAUUUGCAGUUCUCUCCAGACACCUGGAGAAUGGGCGACGUUUCUGAGGAUCCGGCGAGCGUGCUUCUGUCAAAACUCAGUCUGUGAAAUUUCUGGGGAAAACACUUCUGUGUCCUGAAGGGUUCAAACUCUGGUGAGGAUCCAGUUAUCAGGUGCUCACCUGGAUGGUUCCAGCUCCCAAAGGGAAAGGCUCUCGUAUCCUUGUCGUCGGGCUCGGUGCUGUCCAAGAAGAUACAGAGACUAAAAAAAUCAUAAGAAGCAAAUAUGACUGCAGGGAAAAGAAGCUGGAGAGAACAGAAGACAUUGCUCCACUCCCCAGAGGAUUAUUGUGAGCAGAUGUGAGCUCUGCUGUCCCUUUGGACUGACAAAGACAGAGGUUUUGUCCCAAGUUGCUUUUGAACCUGUCCUGCACCCGUUACGAGUCCUCAGUCUCCUGCAAUUUUGUGGGUCAGUCACAUGUAAAACAGCACAGCUGGCUGGCAUGCUUUGCUCAUGAGGGGAGACAAGAGAAGAAUCCCUCUGCUCACACCAGACCUGCAGCUGCCAAACCUCACCAAAGCACCUGAGGAGCCCCCAGGGACUGAUGGUACAGAAGGGAGGUGAUGGAGGACAGCACAGCAGGCAGCCUGCCCUCCAUCUGGCUGUGAAGAAGGCAGGGCUGGGAACUGUCAGCAACAUCCCAGCAGGUCUGGCUGAUGGUGCCACCCUGAGGGCUUCCCCUGCCUUUGGGCAGUCCCAGCUGCUGCAGCUCACUUGACAGAGACUCAUUGUCUAUACUGUGCUUGGCUGCACUGGAGAUGAUGAAGCCGAGGACAGCAAUGGUUGCCUUCACAUCCCCUGACUGCAGAUGGGAAGGAGGGCGAGCUCUGUCACCUUGGGAAGGCCUCUGCAGAGUCACUGCUGCCCGUCUCUG